UACAGAGGUGGCAAGCGUUGUUCGGAAUUACUGGGCGUAAAGGGCGCGUAGGCGGCCCGUCAAGUCCCGUGUGAAAGCCCCCGGCUCAACCGGGGAACGGCGCGGGAAACUAGCAGGCUUGAGUUCGGGAGAGGGAAGCGGAAUUCCGGGUGUAGCGGUGAAAUGCGCAGAUAUCCGGAGGAACACCGGUGGCGAAGGCGGCUUCCUGGACCGACACUGACGCUGAGGCGCGAAAGCUAGAGGAGCAAACGGG
rnacentral:rRNA from 1 species